rnacentral:rRNA from 2 species
UGCAAGUCGAGCGGACGUUUUUGAAGCUUGCUUUAAAAACGUUAGCGGCGGACGGGUGAGUAACACGUGGGCAACCUACCUUAUCGACUGGGAUAACUCCGGGAAACCGGGGCUAAUACCGGAUAACAUCUAGCACCUCCUGGUGCCGGAUUAAAAGAGGGCUUCUUGCUCUCACGAUGAGAUGGGCCCGCGGCGCAUUAGCUAGUUGGAGAGGUAAUGGCUCCCCAAGGCGACGAUGCGUAGCCGACCUGAGAGGGUGAUCGGCCACACUGGGACUGAGACACGGCCCAGACUCCUACGGGAGGCAGCAGUAGGGAAUCUUCCGCAAUGGACGAAAGUCUGACGGAGCAACGCCGCGUGAGUGAUGAAGGGUUUCGGCUCGUAAAGCUCUGUUAUGAGGGAAGAACACGUACCGUUCGAAUAGGGCGGUACCUUGACGGUACCUCAUCAGAAAGCCACGGCUAACUACGUGCCAGCAGCCGCGGUAAUACGUAGGUGGCAAGCGUUGUCCGGAAUUAUUGGGCGUAAAGCGCGCGCAGGCGGCCUUUUAAGUCUGAUGUGAAAUCUUGCGGCUCAACCGCAAGCGGCCAUUGGAAACUGGGAGGCUUGAGUACAGAAGAGGAGAGUGGAAUUCCACGUGUAGCGGUGAAAUGCGUAGAUAUGUGGAGGAACACCAGUGGCGAAGGCGACUCUCUGGUCUGUAACUGACGCUGAGGCGCGAAAGCGUGGGGAGCAAACAGGAUUAGAUACCCUGGUAGUCCACGCCGUAAACGAUGAGUGCUAGGUGUUAGGGGUUUCGAUGCCCCGUAGUGCCGAAGUUAACACAUUAAGCACUGGAAACUGGGAGGCUUGAGUACAGAAGAGGAGAGUGGAAUUCCACGUGUAGCGGUGAAAUGCGUAGAUAUGUGGAGGAACACCAGUGGCGAAGGCGACUCUCUGGUCUGUAACUGACGCUGAGGCGCGAAAGCGUGGGGAGCAAACAGGAUUAGAUACCCUGGUAGUCCACGCCGUAAACGAUGAGUGCUAGGUGUUAGGGGUUUCGAUGCCCGUAGUGCCGAAGUUAACACAUUAAGCACUCCGCCUGGGGAGUACGGCCGCAAGGCUGAAACUCAAAGGAAUUGACGGGGGCCCGCACAAGCAGUGGAGCAUGUGGUUUAAUUCGAAGCAACGCGAAGAACCUUACCAGGUCUUGACAUCCUUUGACCACUCUGGAGACAGAGCUUCCCCUUCGGGGGCAAAGUGACAGGUGGUGCAUGGUUGUCGUCAGCUCGUGUCGUGAGAUGUUGGGUUAAGUCCCGCAACGAGCGCAACCCUUGACCUUAGUUGCCAGCAUUUAGUUGGGCACUCUAAGGUGACUGCCGGUGACAAACCGGAGGAAGGUGGGGAUGACGUCAAAUCAUCAUGCCCCUUAUGACCUGGGCUACACACGUGCUACAAUGGAUGGU